rnacentral:rRNA from 1 species
AUUGAACGCUGGCGGCAGGCCUAACACAUGCAAGUCGAGCGGCAGCGACUUAACUGAACCUUCGGGGGACGUUAAGGGCGGCGAGCGGCGGACGGGUGAGUAAUGCCUGGGAAUAUGCCCUGAUGUGGGGGAUAACUAUUGGAAACGAUAGCUAAUACCGCAUAAUCUCUUCGGAGCAAAGAGGGGGACCUUCGGGCCUCUCGCGUCAGGAUUAGCCCAGGUGGGAUUAGCUUGUUGGUGAGGUAAUGGCUCACCAAGGCAACGAUCCCUAGCUGGUCUGAGAGGAUGAUCAGCCACACUGGAACUGAGACACGGUCCAGACUCCUACGGGAGGCAGCAGUGGGGAAUAUUGCACAAUGGGGGAAACCCUGAUGCAGCCAUGCCGCGUGUGUGAAGAAGGCCUUCGGGUUGUAAAGCACUUUCAGUAGGGAGGAAGGUAGUGUAGUUAACACCUGCAUUAUUUGACGUUACCUACAGAAGAAGCACCGGCUAACUCCGUGCCAGCAGCCGCGGUAAUACGGAGGGUGCGAGCGUUAAUCGGAAUUACUGGGCGUAAAGCGCAUGCAGGCGGCCUGUUAAGUCAGAUGUGAAAGCCCGGGGCUUAACCUCGGAAUUGCAUUUGAAACUGGCAGGCUAGAGUCUUGUAGAGGGGGGUAGAAUUUCAGGUGUAGCGGUGAAAUGCGUAGAGAUCUGAAGGAAUACCAGUGGCGAAGCGGCCCCCUGGACAAACUGACGCUCAGAUGCGAAAGCGUGGGGAGCAAACAGG